rnacentral:lncRNA from 1 species
UGUGGCUGUGCGCUGAACAGGGAAGUGAAGAAUAACACAGCCAAGGUCAAGGCAGGACAAGACAGGACAGCGCCAUUACCAGCCAUGCACUGUGUGGAAGAUACAGAGGGUGAGGGCAGUAGUAAAUCGAGGUCUGGUGGUCCUUGGCAGAGUGAGCCUGUGCUCCCCCUUGCAGGUUUGCAAGUAGUGGUCACCUGUCUGUCGCUGGAAGCCAGUGCUGGUCUUGGCUGAGCUGGGCAAAAGGAGGAAGUGGAGGAAUUCCUUGGAGAGUGCUCUUUGCAACCAAACGGAAGAACAAAAGGACAAUUCUCAGAAGCACACCAAAAACGAAACCAAAUAAAAACCCCAUAAAAAAUCCCUAUGGGGUAAAGGAAAUACCAGUCUGAUGCCUUUUGUGUCUUGUGUUGGGUCAUAAAGGGCAGGCUCUCUAAGAGGUGG